rnacentral:rRNA from 1 species
UACGAAGGGGGCUAGCGUUGCUCGGAAUUACUGGGCGUAAAGGGCGCGUAGGCGGGUCGUUAAGUUAGAGGUGAAAGCCCAGGGCUCAACCCUGGAAUUGCCUUUAAUACUGUCGACCUUGAGUAUGGCAGAGGUGUGUGGAACUCCGAGUGUAGAGGUGAAAUCGUAGAUAUUCGGAAGAACACCAGUGGCGAAAGGCGACAGCACUGGGCCAUACUGGACGCUGAGGCGACGAAGCGUG